UACGUAGGGUGCAAGCGUUGUCCGGAAUUAUUGGGCGUAAAGAGCUCGUAGGCGGUCUGUUGCGUCGGCUGUGAAAACCCGGGGCUCAACUCCGGGCCUGCAGCCGAUACGGGCAGACUAGAGUUCGGCAGGGGAGACUGGAAUUCCUGGUGUAGCGGUGAAAUGCGCAGAUAUCAGGAGGAACACCGGUGGCGAAGGCGGCCCGCUGGGCAGUGGCUGACGCUGAGGCGCGACAGCGUGGGGAGCAAACAGG
rnacentral:rRNA from 1 species